rnacentral:misc_RNA from 1 species
GUGGGAGCUGGCUUGCCUGCGAUGGCGGAGUGUCAGUCAAUCAUUUAUUAGCUGAUCCACCGCUAUCGCAGGCAAGCCAGCUCCCAC